GAUGAACGCUGGCGGUAUGCUUAACACGUGCAAGUCGAACGGACUCUUCGGAGUUAGUGGCGGACGGGUGAGUAACGCGUGAGAAUCUGGCUUUGGGUUCGGGACAACCACUGGAAACGGUGGCUAAUACCGGAUGUGCCGAGAGGUAAAAGAGAAAUUGCCUGAAGAUGAGCUCGCGUCUGAUUAGCUAGUUGGUGAGGUAAAGGCUCACCAAGGCAGCGAUCAGUAGCUGGUCUGAGAGGAUGACCAGCCACACUGGGACUGAGACACGGCCCAGACUCCUACGGGAGGCAGCAGUGGGGAAUUUUCCGCAAUGGGCGAAAGCCUGACGGAGCAAUACCGCGUGAGGGAAGAAGGCUCUUGGGUUGUAAACCUCUUUUCUUAGGGAAGAACAAAAUGACGGUACCUAAGGAAUCAGCAUCGGCUAACUCCGUG
rnacentral:rRNA from 1 species